CCCUCCCUUCAUCGAACGUCUGGUCCGAAUAUUCUUCUUCGUUCUCGCGUUUAUCUGUGCAGCCCUGCCUUUCUUCUCCCGUUCCCCGCGGCCUGCGCGCGCGUUCUCUCCCUCACCUCCGCCCCUCUCUCCCUCUCUCUCGCUCCGGGCGACGGCUGGGCGACCGCCGCUUUAUCCGUGCGGCCCUUCCUUUUGUUCUCCCGUCACCCAAACCCCCCUUCGAGCUCUAUCUGUCUCUUCCUCUCGAGGCGACGCCUGGGCUACCGCGCCGCUACUGCGGCCUCCCGCGACAGGUGCCUAGUCUCCAUCAGGUGCCAUGUCUUCUUCGGGCUCUUCACCGGCGACGUGCACUGCCAGCUCUGCAUGUAUACACCCAAGUCCUUUACUGGGUCCGCCGCCGCCCCUACGUACUUCGUUAGGUUUAGUAUGUUGUUAAGUUUGUAAUUCUAGGGUCUGGAGGGAAGCAUAGAUCUCAAGAGGGGUGAAAUUUGGUGGUAAUUUCCUGAGAAUUUCAAGGAGACAAGGGCGUGGAGGUUGUUUCUGGAGGGAUCUGUGAGCACAGCAGCAGAAAUUUGAGGUUGGUGGUAGCCUGUUGAUCCACGAUGGUGGGUAAGGAGCUGGUGGUGCAAAGGAAUGGCCCUGUUGACAUACGUGAGAUUGCUGCAAAGGCCACGCUUCGGGAGGUGCGGCAGAGCGGGCACACCUACGUCGAACUACGGCGUGUCGGGAAGCGUGUCAUCUUCUUCUGCACCAUCUGCCUCACCGAGUGCUUCAGCGACAAUGUGCUGUUUGACCACCUCAAGGGAAACCUGCAUUCACGGCGGUAUGCUGAGGCCAAGGUUACGCUGUUUGGGCCCAUGCCAUGGCCGUUUAAUGAUGGUGUGCUCUUCUUCAACAACUUACGCGAGAAGGAUCCGCUCCUGCUGGACUCAAGCUCACAGAGCACCAGAGAGCUUGCCCUGGUUCCAGAGCCUGAGGUUUCAGGGAAUGAUACUGAGGUGACAUCAAGGCUGAGAGAUGGUUCAACCUCCUCUAAUGGUGUGAAAGGUGCACGCUAUGGUGCAAAAGGCCGUGCUAAUGGUAGAACUGCUGCUGUAUCUGAAGAUCACAUGCUUUCAAACCAUGGAACUGAUGGUCCUGUUGUUAUUCCUGGUGUAUUGCUAAAGGAUGUUGUUUCAGAUUUGCCUGUGCAUCUUUUGGGCUAUGGGAAUAUUUCAUACAGGAUCUAUGAAGCUAGCAAGAACUGCAGGAAGAUAAGCAAGAUCUGGUGUGCUUGGGUAGGACAAGGCUCCCAUGGUUUUGAGAGUUGUAACACUUAUGAGCAAUCUGGAUUUGCCAUAGUCAACUUCUCUUAUACCUAUGAUUUAGGCAGGAAGUGGUCUUCUGAGGAACAAGACCUGUCUGUCUCUGCUGGAUCUUUCUUUGUAAUUGAUGAUGCUGGACACCGUGGAAAGCGAAUGAGAAAAUCAUUCUCUGAUCAAGAAGCAUCUUCAGAAGAGUCAAAUGGUCAGAACAGCUCUUUACAGGGCAGUAGGCAAGCUAUUGUGACUUGUUCACCGGUAGGUACCUCAAAUGAUCUUCAAGUUGGUCUCUUAUCAAGCAAGGCAGCAAGGAGAGAGUUGAGGAAGCAGAAGCGAAUAGCAGCUGAGAAAGUGUGUGAUCUUUGCGGCAGACCAAUGCUCUCUGGAAAGGAUGUUGCCACCUUGCUGAACUGCAAUACAGGAAAACUAGCUUGCAGCAGUAGAAAUUCAAGUGGGGCUUACCAUCUAUUUCACACUUCCUGCCUUUUACACUGGACUAUUCUGUGCCAAUACGAGAUGCUGAACGAUGAAAUAGCUAGGAAGGGGAAGAGCAACCGAGGAAGGAAGGCAAAGAAUGCACCUAAGAGAAGCAAAAUAACGUCCAUAGUUUGCCCAGAAUGUCAGGGUACUGGAAUUCACGUCAACGGAGAUGAACUUGAGAAGCCAAGCAUUUCUUUAUCAGAGGUCUGGAGCACAUAUUCACUCUUCUGCUGUCAGUCCCUGAUUUUUCAUUCAGGCAACUUCUUGCAAAUUACUUCUAUAGCAGCCGAGCACCUGAAUUGGUUGGAUAUGGCACUUGCAGAUGUUUCGCUUCAAGAUGAAAGCAAUCGAAGCUCACAAAGCAUGGCUGAAGAGACCUGAAGUGCUUGAAAACUGUUCCACUGGGCUUCAUUUCCCCUCAGAACAUGUGGAGAACUCUGAGGAGAAGGUGAUGCCACUCAAGUCACUUCCCUUCUAUGCCGCUGAUGGGUAGAAAGAUAGUUGAUGGCAGCUACUGGAGGAUGCUGCAGUUGUUGAUGUAAAUAAGCUCGCUUGACAGUUGUGGAACAGUGUUGUCAGAUGCUCACCUACGUGCAUUAUCUCAGUUAACCUGUGUCCGCCAGAUGAUAACUAAGACAUUUAAACUGGCAACUGGCAACUACACGUACGCAGUCCAUUUCGUUGGGUUGGGUUGGGUUUGCUGCUUACAGCUUCCAGUUUCA